AUUGAACGCUGGCGGCAUGCUUUACACAGGCAAGUCGAACGGCAGCGCGGGCUUCGGCCUGGCGGCGAGUGGCGAACGGGUGAGUAAUGCAUCGGAACGUGCCCAGUAGUGGGGGAUAGCCCGGCGAAAGCCGGAUUAAUACCGCAUACGACCUGAGGGUGAAAGCGGGGGACCGAAAGGCCUCGCGCUAUUGGAGCGGCCGAUGUCGGAUUAGCUAGUUGGUGGGGUAAAGGCUUACCAAGGCGACGAUCCGUAGCUGGUCUGAGAGGACGACCAGCCACACUGGGACUGAGACACGGCCCAGACUCCUACGGGAGGCAGCAGUGGGGAAUUUUGGACAAUGGGGGCAACCCUGAUCCAGCCAUGCCGCGUGCGGGAAGAAGGCCUUCGGGUUGUAAACCGCUUUUGUUCGGGAAGAAAUCCUCUGGGCUAAUACCCCGGGGGGAUGACGGUACCGGAAGAAUAAGCACCGGCUAACUACGUG
rnacentral:rRNA from 1 species